ACCACAAGCGAUCUUGAUUUCGACGCAUGAACCAAACAAGCAAGCACAGAAAGAAAGAUCCAUACCUGGACAACCGGCGGCUCAGCCAGCAAGAAGAAGAGCGAGGAACCCACCAAGGCAGGAAGAGAGAGAAAGCGAGGGAUGCAGUUCUAGAGAGAGAGAGAGAGAGAGAGAGAGAGAGAGAGAGAGAGGGAGGCAGAGGAAGAGUCUUU
rnacentral:lncRNA from 1 species